rnacentral:tRNA from 1 species
GAGGGUACAGCUCAGUGGUAGAGUGCCUGCUUAGCAUGCUUGAGGUCUUAGGUUCAAUCCCUAGUACCUCCA